rnacentral:rRNA from 1 species
GGCAGGCCUAACACAUGCAAGUCGAACGGUAACAGGAAGCAGCUUGCUGCUUUGCUGACGAGUGGCGGACGGGUGAGUAAUGUCUGGGAAACUGCCUGAUGGAGGGGGAUAACUACUGGAAACGGUAGCUAAUACCGCAUAACGUCGCAAGACCAAAGAGGGGGACCUUCGGGCCUCUUGCCAUCGGAUGUGCCCAGAUGGGAUUAGCUAGUAGGUGGGGUAAAGGCUCACCUAGGCGACGAUCCCUAGCUGGUCUGAGAGGAUGACCAGCCACACUGGAACUGAGACACGGUCCACACUCCUACGGGAGGCAGCAGUGGGGAAUAUUGCACAAUGGGCGCAAGCCUGAUGCAGCCAUGCCGCGUGUAUGAAGAAUGCCUUCGGGCUGUAAAGUACUUUCAGCGGGGAGGAAGGGAGUAAAGUUAAUACCUUUGCUCAUUGACGUUACCCGCAGAACAAUCACCGGCUAACUCCGUGCCAGCAGCCGUCGGUAAUACGGAGGGUGCAAGCGUUAAUCUCAAUUACUGGGCGUAGCGCGCACGCUUGCGGUUUGUCUAACGUCAGAUGUGAAAUCCCCGGGCUCAACNUGGGAACUGCAUCUGAUACUGGCAAGCUUGAGUCUCGUAGAGGGGGGUAGAAUUCCAGGUGUAGCGGUGAAAUGCGUAGAGAUCUGGAGGAAUACCGGUGGCGAAGGCGGCCCCCUGGACGAAGACUGACGCUCAGGUGCGAAAGCGUGGGGAGCAAACAGGAUUAGAUACCCUGGUAGUCCACGCCGUAAACGAUGUCGACUUGGAGGUUGUGCCCUUGAGGCGUGGCUUCCGGAGCUAACGCGUUAAGUCGACCGCCUGGGGAGUACGGCCGCAAGGUUAAAACUCAAAUGAAUUGACGGGGGCCCGCACAAGCGGUGGAGCAUGUGGUUUAAUUCGAUGCAACGCGAAGAACCUUACCUGGUCUUGACAUCCACGGAAGUUUUCAGAGAUGAGAAUGUGCCUUCGGGAACCGUGAGACAGGUGCUGCAUGGCUGUCGUCAGCUCGUGUUGUGAAAUGUUGGGUUAAGUCCCGCAACGAGCGCAACCCUUAUCCUUUGUUGCCAGCGGUCCGGCCGGGAACUCAAAGGAGACUGCCAGUGAUAAACUGGAGGAAGGUGGGGAUGACGUCAAGUCAUCAUGGCCCUUACGACCAGGGCUACACACGUGCUACAAUGGCGCAUACAAAGAGAAGCGACCUCGCGAGAGCAAGCGGACCUCAUAAAGUGCGUCGUAGUCCGGAUUGGAGUCUGCAACUCGACUCCAUGAAGUCGGAAUCGCUAGUAAUCGUGGAUCAGAAUGCCACGGUGAAUACGUUCCCGGGCCUUGUACACACCGCCCGUCACACCAUGGGAGUGGGUUGCAAAAGAAGUAGGUAGCUUAACCUUCGGGAGGGCGCUUACCACUUUGUGAUUCAUGACUGGGGUGAAGU